CCUACGGGUGGCAGCAGUAGGGAAUUUUCGUCAAUGGGCGCAAGCCUGAACGAGCGAUGCCGCGUGAGUGAAGAAGGCCUUCGGGUCGUAAAGCUCUGUUGCGGGGGAAAAAAGGCAGCAUCAGGAAAUGGGUGCUGACUGAUGGUGCCCCGCCAGCAAGUCACGGCUAACUACGUGCCAGCAGCCGCGGUAAUACGUAGGUGGCGAGGGUUAUCCGGAGUUUUUGGGUUUAAAGGGUGCGUGGGCUGUGAGGUAAGUCAGCGGUGAAAUGCCCCCGCUCAACGGGGUGAAGUGCCAUUGAUACUGCCUUGCUGGAAUGCGGAUGCCGUGGGAGGAAUGUGUGGUGUAGCGGUGAAAUGCAUAGAUAUCACACAGAACACCGAUUGCGAAGGCAUCUCACGAAUCCGCGAUUGACGCUGAUGCACGAAAGCGUGGGUAUCAAACAGGAUUAGAUACCCCUGUAGUC
rnacentral:rRNA from 1 species